rnacentral:rRNA from 1 species
AACUUUCACUCGGAUCUCUUGGUUCUGGCAUCGAUGAGACGCAGCGAAUGCGAUAGUAGUGUGAUUGAAGAUUACGUGAUCAUCGAUCUUUGACGCACAUUGGCCCCUCGGAUCCCGGGGCAUGCCUGUCGAGCGUCAUU